AAGUCCUGAAAAUAAGGCACUUCAUGCCGC
rnacentral:sRNA from 1 species